CGGCGGACGGGUGAGUAACACGUGGGUAACCUGCCUGUAAGACUGGGAUAACUCCGGGAAACCGGAGCUAAUACCGGAUAGUUCCUUGAACCGCAUGGUUCAAGGAUGAAAGACGGUUUCGGCUGUCACUUACAGAUGGACCCGCGGCGCAUUAGCUAGUUGGUGAGGUAACGGCUCACCAAGGCGACGAUGCGUAGCCGACCUGAGAGGGUGAUCGGCCACACUGGGACUGAGACACGGCCCAGACUCCUACGGGAGGCAGCAGUAGGGAAUCUUCCGCAAUGGACGAAAGUCUGACGGAGCAACGCCGCGUGAGUGAUGAAGGUUUUCGGAUCGUAAAGCUCUGUUGUUAGGGAAGAACAAGUGCAAGAGUAACUGCUUGCACCUUGACGGUACCUAACCAGAAAGCCACGGCUAACUACGUGCCAGCAGCCGCGGUAAUACGUAGGUGG
rnacentral:rRNA from 1 species